rnacentral:rRNA from 1 species
CAGCCGCCGCGGGAAAACGAAGGGGGCUAGCGUUGUUCGGAUUUACUGGGCGUAAAGCGCACGUAGGCGGACUUUUAAGUCAGGGGUGAAAUCCCGGGGCUCAACCCCGGAACUGCCUUUGAUACUGGAAGUCUUGAGUAUGGUAGAGGUGAGUGGAAUUCCGAGUGUAGAGGUGAAAUUCGUAGAUAUUCGGAGGAACACCAGUGGCGAAGGCGGCUCACUGGACCAUUACUGACGCUGAGGUGCGAAAGCGUGGGGAGCAAACAGGAUUAGAUACCCCGGUAGUCCCUGUCUCUUAUAC